rnacentral:rRNA from 1 species
CAGCAGGCGCGAUAACUUUACAAUGCGGGAAACCGUGAUAAGGGGACACCGAGUGCCAGCAUCAUAUGCUGGCUGUCCAGAUGUGUAAAAUACAUCUGUUAGCAAGGCCGGGCAAGACCGGUGCCAGCCGCCGCGGUAACACCGGCGGCCCGAGUGGUGAUCGUGAUUAUGGGUCUAAAGGGUCCGUAGCCGGUUUGGUCAGUCCUCCGGGAAAUCUGAUGGCUCAACCAUUAGGCUUUCGCGGGAUACUGCCAGGCUUGGAACCGGGAGAGGUAAGAGGUACUACAGGGUAGGAGUGAAAUCUUGUAAUCCCUGUGAGACCACCUGUGGCGAAGGCGUCUUACCAGAACGGGUUCGACGGUGAGGGACGAAAGCUGGGGGCACGAACCGGAUUAGAUACCCGGGUAGUCCCAGCCGUAAACGAUGCUCGCUAGGUGUCAGGCAUGGCGCGACCGUGUCUGGUGCCGCAGGGAAGCCGUGAAGCGAGCCACCUCGGAAGUACGGCCGCAAGGCUGAAACUUAAAGGAAUUGGCGGGGGAGCACAACAACGGGUGGAGCCUGCGGUUUAAUUGGACUCAACGCCGGACAACUCACCGGGGACGACAGCAAUAUGUAGGCCAGGCUGAAGACCUUGCCUGAAUCGCUGAGAGGAGGUGCAUGGCCGUCGCCAGUUCGUACUGUGAAGCAUCUGUUAAGUCAGGCAACGAGCGAGACCCGUGCCCACUGUUACCAGCAUGUCCACCGGGAC